rnacentral:rRNA from 1 species
AUGAACGCUGGCGGCGUGCCUAAUACCUGCAAGUCGAGCGCACAGAUGAGGAGCUUGCUCCUCUGACGUUAGCGGCGGACGGGUGAGUAACACGUGGAUAACCUACCUAUAAGACUGGGAUAACUUCGGGAAACCGGAGCUAAUACCGGAUAAUAUAUUGAACCGCAUGGUUCAAUAGUGAAAGACGGUUUUGCUGUCACUUAUAGAUGGAUCCGCGCCGCAUUAGCUAGUUGGUAAGGUAACGGCUUACCAAGGCAACGAUGCGUAGCCGACCUGAGAGGGUGAUCGGCCACACUGGAACUGAGACACGGUCCAGACUCCUACGGGAGGCAGCAGUAGGGAAUCUUCCGCAAUGGGCGAAAGCUUGACGGAGCAACGCCGCGUGAGUGAUGAAGGUCUUCGGAUCGUAAAACUCUGUUAUUAGGGAAGAACAAAUGUGUAAGUAACUAUGCACGUCUUGACGGUACCUAAUCAGAAAGCCACGGCUAACUACGUG